rnacentral:tRNA from 1 species
UUCAAGGCAUAGCUAGUUAGUAAGUUUCUCCUUUACACGGAGACCACACUCGUGCAAUUCGAGUUGUUUUGAAG